UUCCACUGCUGAGCCAAUCUUUUUCUUUCUUGUAGGUUGAUUUUGUCAAGUAGUGAAAACAGCAAUACACAGAAUAACCCAGACAUGGAUCCAGGACCCAGACUCCCAAGCAGAGGCCACUAACACACUCCUGAAAAAGUGAAGUUCAAGUGAAAAGCACGUGAGAUCUCUGACUGCCAGGUUUGUGCUAUGUCCACAUGUCAGUGGGCUUUCUAGGCACAGAACACUGGCUCUUAUUUCGUUCCAAACAGUAUAACUAUCAUCUAUGACUGUGUGAGAUGAGUGUAUAAGAAACGUCAGAGUAACAUAAAGAGUGGCAUUCCUUCCCCCGAGAGGACUGUCCCGUCCUGAAUAGACUUGACAGACCAUGAUGAUUCCGUCUUCCAUCUCACGCUGAAACUGGAGCCGUGGUAGAAAGUUAAGUUAGGGGAUCGGGAGUCUAAUUUUGUGCUGUGUCUUACAGAAACAUAAAAACCCAAUCACAUUUAGUUAUACACUUAAAAUUUGUUUUGCUUUUAUUGGAAAUAAUAAAAUUAUAUGGACUUGAGCCAUUAUACUCUCCCUCUCCAUACACAUACACACACACACACACACACACACACACACACACAGAGACACACACACACUUGGUAGUGAGAGUUUUUAACAGCCCUCAAAUGCAGACAAGUUAGUGCCUGAGAUGUGAAUGUUAAGAACUGUGGGCUUUGGAUAAGACCUGUUAAUUUAGUUUCACUUGUCUCCAGAGCUUUACACAUGUUCUCCGAACUGUCUAUUCUUCUUCAUCAUCCUGGCAUCCAGAAAAGCUCAUGGAUGCAAGCAUACACAUGUAUAUAUGAAAACAUGUAUACACAAGGCACAUGUGCUCACAUAUGAGCAUAUGCAUACACCCACACAGCAUACACUACACAGACUGCAUCCACACUUGCAUAUGUUCAUAUGCUUGUAUGCACACGGACACACACUCAUAUAUACAAAUGCACACAUGUUUGUAUACGUUUGCAGUCACAUCUCUUUAGAAUACCUAGUCUUUAAAAAAAAAAAAAGGAAAGCCCAAACCCACACUCCUGACUUUGACACUCAUAAAUUCUAGCAGGCCGAGCCCUGCUCAGGACCUGAACCUUCCGAAUUUAAUGACAGCAAGGCUGAUGAUACAAUAUAAACUAUAUUGGGAAUGUUGUACCACAGAGUUACCUCUUGGAAGCUUUUGUUACAAAUAAUUAGUGAGUGGAUGAUAGGGACUAGCAAAGUGCUGCCUGUAAGUAAAGUCUGGACCCCAAGUGCAUGCUAGCCUUAGAGACUGUGAGCGAGCACUGGAAGAUUGGAAAUGAGGCGUGUUUGCUGCUGGCAUGGCUCAUAUCGGUAUGGGUGGGGCACUCCACAGUUACUACACUCUCCUCUGGUGGUGCAACCCCAGUAUCCUAGCCUAAGUCAUAAAGUCAGCUCCUGGUCAAAGUAUGAGUGGGUGCUCUGACAUCACUCCAAUUGCAGAGAGCAAGAAAGGGGAAGAGGGAAAGAGUUUAGUUCUCCUCUUGUGUGCUUGUAUUGCCUGUCUUUCCUGGAAGCCCUUUUGCUACCUCCUGUGAGCUGCAUACGAGCCGAGUCGUCUUGCACCUCCAUGGCUACAGGGCCAUGGGGCAGUCCUCUAGGGAGAGAGGCUGGCAAGUGUAAUCUCUCAGCUGGGCACAGAUCCCAAAGUCCUUCAGAGGAAGAAAGAAAGGUGACCAUUUGGUGACAUCUUGCUGCUGAUGUCCAAAGAUGAGGCCUUUCCUACAGAAAAGAGAUAUUCUAAAUCAAGUAGUUGCUAUAGCUUUAACAAAACUACAGGUAAACUCCACUUUCUUUGAGCGUACAAGGAUUUUGAUUUGAGAAGACACUUUGAAAAACACCUUGCUUCAUCAGCCUUUGGGUUUAGUGAGCAUCUGAGAGCCAUUUUUAUAGUGUGAGUUCCCCCCAUGAUCUUCCCUCCCCUACCCCCUAAGUCUGCCCUGGAGGCAGAGUGACCUGGAGCUGGUUGCAUGCCCUGAGGUGGAGGGAUGCUACUGGGGCUGGUCUGGGAGUUCCCUAAUGUCAGUGGGCAUUUGGAAGAUAGUUCACUGGAAACCCCUUUGUUAUUAUUUACAUAUAUUGUGCUUGCAUUUUCGGCUCAUGUAUUCCCUGGGAAUCUAAUUUGUAAAUAAUUACUUGACAGAAAUGAAGCUGGGUAGAAAAUUCAGAGUGUGCAGUGGCCCAAACAAACCCCAGAGAGGAGACUCGAGCGGAAAGGCCAGCUCCUACAAGGCCUCAGCACGCUUCCUCUGCUCAGCCGUUAGCAGCUAAUAAGGUCCCCAGUGUAGAAGCAAAUUCUCAGGCGGUGGACGGACGUGGUGGACACACCAAAGUGGCCAUUAGCAGCCAGGCUGGGAGCAGAAGGCUGAGCUGGCAUGCUGAGAAACUGCUUUCCCUGUUCCGCUCUCUGUGCCAAGGAGCAGUGGUAAGGGCAGGACUGCUCUUCCUGUAUGAAGAGCCAGAGCGCCUAGAACAAGGAGGUGCCACAAACUAAAUGCUUGUGUUCCCCUCUGAGUUCCUAUGGUAAAGCCCUAAUCCCCCUUGUAGGCUGUAUUGGAGGUGUAAAGAAUAGAUUAUGGUUAACUGAGGCCCUUGAAUGGAGCUUUAAUCAGAAGGGGUUGCGUCUUCAGAAAAGGUACUAGGGCUCUCUCCCUAUACCCACUUACCAAAGCAAGGCUGUUUGAGGACAAGCAGGUGACCCUCUACAAGCCAGUAGGGGUGCUAUCACCCAAAACUCACCUCAUUCAAUUUAGAUUCUGAGCUUUCUACUUCUAGAGCCAUGAUAAUGAAAUCCUAAGACCUUAAACUGUCCAGCAGGUAGCAUUUUUGUUACAGUAGUCUGAGCUGACCAAUACAGGGUAAUGGACUGGAGAUGUGUGUUACAGAAAGCUAGUCCUCUGCACCCUCUGGGAUGUUUCUUGCUGCUGUGAUAGCUCCUGAAUACCUGCUCCCAUCGCCUUGAGCCCUGGGCCCUGCUGGUCAAGGCCUUCUCUAAUUAGCUACCUCAUCAGUACACCAUCAGCAAUAAGGGCCUGGCAGCUUGCCUUCUACAAAUCUAUUUAGCCUUUGGAUAUCUUACUCCAGAAGGGAUACUUAGCCAUUACUGCAUGCCCAGUACCUGUUACACUUUUGUAGACAGGAGCAAGCAGACAUACUUGCUAUAACAGAUAGCCCUGUCCAUAUAAGAGCAAGCAAGGGCUUAGAACUGGUAUCAACUCAGUUAUUUCAUAGUUGCUCUGAGCCUGAGACCGUCUAAGCACUCAUUGCAUGUGAAGUUGACCAAGGUCUCAUAACCACAUGCGGGUUAAUUCUACCGCUCUGUCCUUCACAGAGAACAGAGGCACAGUUGGUUCUAGGACACACAGCUAGCAGGUGACAGAGCCAGGGUCAUCCUCAUGCAGUCUGAAUCAUGCCUUAUGAUCAGUGUGAAGCUGCCAGGCCAGGUAGCCAUAAUCUUAUUGUAGAUUCCAAGUCUCAUGUGUAGGAUCUGAUGGGGAGGGGGGACACAAAAAAGGGAGUCUCUUUUCUUGGUGGCUGGGAAAAUCUCCCUAAGCCAGGUCUAAGUGUAUUUGAAGGAGGGUGGAGUUGGUAAAUCCCCCAAAACAAAGGUGCCUGGGCCAAAAGAGCCCGAAGGUAUCCUAGGAAGGUUGUGUGUGUAGGAAGAUGGGUGGCAAGGACUUAGCUGAAGAGACAGAGCGUCCACACAUAGCCCAGAAGGCCUGAAAAUGGAAGGAUCAUAUAAGGAUUUGCUCAAGGUAACCACUACUAUACUGCAGAGAAGGGAUUGGAACUCGGGCAGAGUGGAAGCAGAGGCCUUUACUUUCAUAACAGGGAACCUAGAUAGAAGAAUGGGGGGUGAUUUCAGUAAGGGGUGGGUGGCAUUUUGAACUGGCACAGUGGGAACAAGUGAUGGAAUCCCAGCGAGGAAGCUGGCACAUGAGGAGACAGUGGCCUCUGAGAACUCUGGGGGAGCAGCUUAGUGAUCAACAUCACAGUUUUAAAGUCAACUGGAAAACUUGCACAGAGUUUGGAUUCUAGAAGCAACAGAUACCGUCAUCAAAUCCAUUGCUUCCCAAUAAUUGUAUUACUUUUGUCUUUUGUCCUGAAGGUCCUGUGUCCCUCAUAUUUGUAGUGACAUGCUACCAGCUGUCUCUCCUCAGCCAGGUCUCUUCGGUGUUUAUCAGUAGUCUGAAGUUUCUGUAGUAAGUGGGAAUGUAACAUGAAGGGCAUCAAGGUAGUGUUUUCUUUUUGGCACACCUCUGGCUGCCACCUUCUAGAGAUACAGGACAGAAGAGACCCAUUGAUCCUUCAAGUCUCCAUCUUGGAAUCUUUCUCCAGCUCCACUGACGACCCAUCUCUCUGUUGGAGUCUCCAAAUAUAUUCUGAACAUCCUUUUUAGAAACUGCUUGUCUUAAGGGUGUUGAUCGUGUUGUUCUUCCUUGCAUUUUGCAAGCCUCUCCGAGGCAGGACUUGUCUCAUUCCUCUCUAGGAUGGAGUACAGCAUGGAGCUCAGUGUGUCUUUCUGUAGUGAAGGAACAAGAGAAUGGGCAGAUAGGGAUGGCUGUGCUCUCGCCAGCCCUACACUGUCCCUCCGUGCUUAGGCAAGACUUUGGAGAUUGUGAUAAUCCUGGAUUGCUUCUAGCUAUCAGGGGCAGACAGCCCGAUGGCUGGAGUGAGAAGACACUUCAAUGUUCGUACAGCUGUUUGUCGAAAUGUUGACUGAAAAUAUUCUUUGAAAUGACUAUUUUUCAAAGAAACCUCUUUCAAAAGAUACUGCUUCAAAAUGGACUUGAUAACUGAGCCCAGAAAAACGGGCCCCUGGGAGGGAGACAGUGGCCAGCACAUCAAAGGCUUCCAAAGGUCGAUUGCAAAGGGGAGGCAUGUGCCUGACCGUCUUGGCAAAGUUGUCUUUGUAACUGAUCUGCUCCAAGGGCCAUGGGGCACAAGGACAUCAGAUUUGUUUGAAGAGAGAAACAUCCUGUUAGCCUUGGAAAAUUAUUACACAAAGCCACCAGAGUGCAACUUCCUCCUAUCCACAACCCCCCACCCACCCAGACAAGGCUGAGCAUCAUAAAAAUCUCCACCCCUAUACCAUUCUGCUCGCUGUCAAUCAUAGAGGCCAAGUGCCUAACAUCCUGGCAGAGAGGGCUAGAAAGAUUCCCUUCCUUGCUUGUUUAGUUGUAUAACUUAGUAAUCCCCUUUCCCUUCUUUAAGCUCACUCACUCGGACUUGCUGUGGUGAGUCUUCUAGGCUCCAAGGGCCAAGAGACCUAAACUUAAUCACUAAUUCUGCUAUACCCUGGAAGCUUGGGCCAAUGACUUCUGAUCCUUACCUCAUCUGAAUAGAUGAGCCACAAAGCCUAUCUGACCAACUCUCAAGGAUGUUCUGAGACCCCAGGAAGCAACUCAGCAUAGCUCGACAUGCGUCAUUGAACUGGGACAUGUCAUGUCCUUCUCUGAGUCCUUUCUGUUGGAAAGCCCUGAUAUUUUGCAAGAGGAAGCAGAUGCCCAGAGAUGUUGAGUUAUAUCUCCAAGUCAUACUAAGGAACUGGCUGGAGGGUCUGAGAGUGAGACCGGUGUCUUAUAUGCUUCCCAAACACAGGAUGCCCAAAUAGCAUUCAACACAGAGAAGUUUGCCCUAUGGACUCUUCUGGAGUUAGAUUACACAUAAGUGUAAAUUGAAAAUCUACAUUCUGACAUGAGUCACUGAACACUCUGAGUCUGAGUUCAUUUGCUUGUGACUUCAGUAAAUGGGACUGAACAGGGAGCUAGCCGACUGUGACCUGGUACCUUGGUGGCUUCUGAUACAGGCUGAUGAAACUGGAGUUUGCCUGGCAGUCCUUUAUAGUCAUAUAAAAAUUGAAUUUAGUCUAGACCCAGCUUCCUUCCUGUUCAGAAAUAUACAUAGAACACCAGGAAGAACAUUGAACUCAUUAUCCACUGGCUUGGACAGUCUCAUGGUACCUGAACCUUUGGAACCUGGCUCUGUGUUCCCACCUGGCCUCCCCAGCAGAACGAGGAGCUGAUCAUAGCCAGAAAUCUUCUUGAUCAUCAUCUCUAUUUCUGAGGCUGAGAUGGAACUGUGGCCCGGUCUUCACAAGCUUAGGAUCAGGUUUAUUCCCACAUGGAGGUUUUCCAUUUCCACUGCACCCCCAGUUGCUGAUCUCUUCUUUUUGUUUCUCUUCCAAAGACCCCAUCUUUAGAGUGUUCUAGAGCUGAAAAGGGUUGAGCCCAUCUUCUCUCUAAGCCAGGCUCCAGGGCAUGGCUGAGUCCUCUUUCACAUGCUGGGCACACACUCAUCUAUGCUUAUGAACUUUUUGGAUAAUUUCUGAAAACAUGAGUGGUCAGUGAAAAUUUCUCAGGACUUCAAAACUGGCCCAAACCUGAGAUGUUUCUUCACUGAGACUCAUUUCGUGGAUGAAGAAACUAAAGUGAGGAGAGGUGACAUCAUUUCCCCCAAUUCAAGCAAAUGAAACAGCAAAAGACAUGGGCAGCUUGUGGCAUUGCACCUCACUACUAAGGCUGUAGUCUACCACCUCUGGAUAGCUCCAUGCAAAAUGGAGGACGCCCUUUUCUUAACAGGGCUUCCUCUUCUCUGCCUGAUUUGGGAAGCCCAACUCCACUCUUCUGAGGAAUGUCACGUAAUCCUUGAUGAAAUUACAGGUUCAACCUCCUGGAACACCUCUCCAUGCAAAUGAAGUAUCCCUAGAACCUUAAACCUCAACCAAUGAAACUUUUACCCUAAGAAAAACCCAUCCCCACUCUCCAGGACACACACACACACACAUACACACACACACACACAUAGCCCUUGAUUCAUCACAAUGAAGUAUAUGUGCACAAGCUGUUUUGAUGACAAUUGCCUAAGAGAGCCAUUUUUUAAGAGCGUGAAUAUCUAAAAUCUGUAACAAUGAAAUCUUCAGAGACUACCCCCCCUUCCCCAUUCACUGCCAAACUGGAAUCCUGCUGACCUGCCCAUUCUAGACUUUGCUUCAUUCUUUCUGUCCUGUGUGCACCAGGGUCUGGACACCUCGAGGGAAGAUGUGGAUUGUGGAACUUGGCCUUACUCUAUCCUUCCCCACUUGGUGUGUAGCAGGUCCUGGACAUUCUAAGGGAAGAAUUAAAAAAAAAAAAAAGGAACCACAUGUGGCAAAGAUUUGAAUUUUCAUACUGCCCGUGAACAGAGACACCCUCCAUUGUUCCUCAUCUCACUGCAGAUGGAGUUCUGGGGGAUGUGUCUAUACAGUGGGAAUGGUGUGAAGAUGGCUUUAACUGGAUGUUGUUCAUUUGGCCUUUCUGAGUCAUUUUCUCUGAAGUUUAUUCUCAUUUUCUAUGAUAGGACCAUCCAGAAAAUGUCCUUCACUCUAUUAAAUCCUGGCUCAUGGGAAUGCCCAGUGUAGUUCCUCUCAGCCACGGAAUCUCCACACUUGGGGCCUCUUAUAGUGAUAUAAACCUAGUGCUGCUUAUAGUCUAAUGCUAAUUUGGGAUUCCCAAGACUGGUGCCCAUAGAUGAGAGAGUCCACACUUUGCAUGGAAUGAGUGACCCGACCCUUUCCCCCCACCCCAGUUAAUUGUGAUUGGUAAAUAAAGAUGCCAACAGCUAAUAGCUGUGCAGCAGACACAUAGGUGGGGUUGAAGUUUCAAGGGCUUGGAGAGAGGACCAUGAGGAUGGAAAAAGAAGAACACACAAGAGGGAGAAGGAGAGCUGCCAUGGGCUAGGGGCCAUGAGAACAUGGCCUAAGAGGGCUACCCAAUUGGAGUCAAGUACAGCCCAGAUGGAACAUAGUAAAUAGUAAGCAAUAACUUGGGAUUAUUGAUAGGAAAGCAGAUUUUUAACAACAUCAAGGGUAGGCAGCUGCCCAACUAUUGUACUGCCUAAGGCUAUUUAAAAAUAUAAGGGAACAUAAAUGUGUAAGGUAGGAAAGAUACCCCGGGCUGGCAUUUUUAAUAAUAAUUUACUACAGCCCCUUUGUAUGAGUUGAUUCUGGUUAAUAGAUCCCAAAACAAAGAACAGAGGCCCAAGGCAGAGAGGAAAGGCCUCCAGAACUUUGGUUUGGUGGCUUGGCUUCCUAGAACUCUUGAAGAAGAUGAACGUUUUUCAUGUAUCAAUGAUGUUGACUGAGCCUCACUCUCAGCUGUGAAAUAUAAGCUCUGUUAAAAGUCAGACACAGCGUGAACUCACCAGGACUGCAGCUCAGCAGAGGAAAAGCAACUCUAGGCUGUCCUCUACCUGGAGGCUCAUUAAGUGGCCUGGUUUGAUCUGGAGAUAUAACAGUGCUAUUCAGCCCCAUCUCCCUCCUCCAAGUGACAUUUAAAGUCGUCAUAAUGUGACUCUGUGGCAGGCCAGAGGCCAGAACCUUAGGUCCUGGCCUCCAGGCAGGGUAUGUCCCUUGUGCUUUGUGGUUUAGGAAUGUGGGACUGCCUGGUGACACUGAAGGAGGAGCGCUGGAGGGCAGACGCAGCUAAACACGAGCUUCAUUAUGUAGGAAAUUGGAGCAACUGACUAAGCCACUGAAGCAAGCCUGGGGUGUGAGGAUGACUUCUUUUUGCCUUCUCCCCAAAGCCAUGAGGCAGGAAGGUCUUCUGUCAAGGACACUGCAGAUGCAGACAGAGGUUCUGAGGGGUUGAAGAACCUCAUCUAAAUGACACGAUUAUCACAGGCUUGGAGAGGCACAGUGAGGUGGACAUGCUCAGGUGGACAUGGGGACACAAACAGCCUGGGCAUGGCCAGGAGCUCCUGGCAAAGCUCCUGAAAAGGCCAGCUUCCUUUUGGAUGUGACAACACGAGGUUAUAAUUCAUAUAUUGCUUCAACCACAGUGACCUGAUCAGUGUUAACUUACAGUCUGCCAUGGCAGGAAAGUCAUUACAGUUGGAACUAGAGGCAUUCAGCCACAUUGGAUCUGCCAUUAGGAAGCAAACUGAGAUGAAUGUGGCUUUCUCCUUUCUGGUUUUUGGUCACAGCAGAAAGAAAGUAACAUAAGAAUGUUAACCAAGAGUCAGACAAUGGGUGUAGACCACUAGGUUCUCUCUCCAGUUUAUGAAUUUUUUAAAGACACAAAAAUUCCAAAAUUUGUCACUACAUUGGCCUGAACUUGGGACCUGGAUUGUAUAAGAAAGCAAGCUGAACAAGCAAGGAGAAGCAAGCUACUAAGCAGCCUUCCUCUGUCACCUCUGCUUCACCUUCCUGCCUGUAGGUUCCUGCCUGGAAUUCUUGCCACAAUGUCCCAUCAUAGAAGACUAGAAGCUACAAGAUGAAAGAAAUCCUUUUUCCUCCAACUUGCCUUUGGUCUAUGGUUCACUUGGAUGUCCAGUACAGAAGAUAAAGCCAACGAGAAGCUAUGGAUGUUGAGAAUGGUGAAAGGGUCUUCCUCCUGGAUGUUUGUCAGUUUUAUUCUUCUGACUUCAACCUUCCAUGGAGCCAACCAACAUGGAAAAGCACACAAAGGAUCCAUACCAUCGUCGAAAACAACCAAACAGGAUCUUUCCUCCAGCCUCCUGCUCAGAGGAGACCCCAGAAUCUCACUUCUUUCCCUGUAUAAACCUUCACAACCUUCCUACGCCGCAUUUUCUGGUUCUCACGGUUUGUUUACCCUGGUAUUCUCUGUACUCCACUCCCCUGCACAGAUUCCAACUCCAGUGGCCACCAUUUUCCUAUGAUUCAGGUUAGGAUGUUGUUUAGGUCAUACUUUUCUUGACUUCAAAGCAGCUAGUGCUGGUCUGGUGCCUGGUAGGCAAAGAGGAGCGGAGAGGAGGGGGAGGGCAGGGGUAGUCUGCUCUACUGGUACUCUGCCAGUGGCGUUCAUUCCCACAGUUCUGUCCUCCCCACACCCCCUAUCAUUCGGCCAGCAUCUUUCUCCCUCACUGGUGGAUGUGUUAAGACUAACACCCAUACUGUGCCUUAUCCCCCAUCAUCUUUACUCACCUGGUUGGAAGUGUAGGUAAGAAGAUCCAAAGACACUUCUUUCAGCAGGAAAGAUGAGUUCUUCAGGCUGCCUCUCCUGUCUACUCUGGAGAAGGAAGAUGUGAUCUAUCACCUCACAGACCACAGCAGAAUUUCCAGCACUGGGGAUGACUACAGUGUGCUCCCGAGAGGCAGUCUGACAGGAGUGUCCAUCCAUACACCUAGCUAGCCAGUGUGACCCAGUGACCUAUUGCCACUUGCUGCCAUACGUGGGCUAUGCCUGUGUUCAUCGCUGUAGAACUGGAACUUGCUCCCACCUCUGGAUGAGACACAGAAGGAUACCACAAUGAAUGCACAUUUAUAUACGUUGCCUGGAGUCUGGGAAAUUAGAAGAGAGACUUUCAGAGAGUAAGAA